AGUGAACGCUGGCGGUAGGCCUAACACAUGCAAGUCGAACGGCAGCACAGUAAGAGCUUGCUCUUACGGGUGGCGAGUGGCGGACGGGUGAGGAAUACAUCGGAAUCUACCUUUUCGUGGGGGAUAACGUAGGGAAACUUACGCUAAUACCGCAUACGACCUACGGGUGAAAGCAGGGGAUCUUCGGACCUUGCGCGAUUGAAUGAGCCGAUGUCGGAUUAGCUAGUUGGCGGGGUAAAGGCCCACCAAGGCGACGAUCCGUAGCUGGUCUGAGAGGAUGAUCAGCCACACUGGAACUGAGACACGGUCCAGACUCCUACGGGAGGCAGCAGUGUGGAAUAUUGGACAAAGGGCGCAAGCCUGAUCCAGCCAUACCGCGUGGGUGAAGAAGGCCUUCGGGUUGUAAAGCCCUUUUGUUGGGAAAGAAAAGCAGCAGGUUAAUACCCCGCUGUUCUGACGGUACCCAAAGAAUAAGCACCGGCUAACUUCGUG
rnacentral:rRNA from 1 species